CUCUCCUAUUUAAAAAAGCAGUAAUCCAUGUAUCGUCAGUUUUGUUCUGCCCACGACCUUCGUCCACUUGCUCGUUGUGUCGCCCGCCCGAUCCUUCCGCCCUCCCCCAUCGUCCGUCAGAUCCUUCCCGCUCGCGUGCUGCGACCUCCACGCCUGCCCUGCCCGCGACCUCCACGCUCCCACUGACCCCGCCCGCAACCUCCGCUCCCCUGCGACCUCCCUCUCUCCAGCCCCCAACAAAUCCAUCGCUCCAGUCUCCACCCCCCCCCCUCUCUCUCUCUGGCCGAUCGACGCCGCCAAAAGCCCCAAUGCCCGCGUGCUCUGCCCUGCGCGCCUAGCUGUCGACGCCGCGCCCACCUCAACUCCUCCCCACGCGUCGCCCCUCACCGCGCCGCCCCCACCGCCAAAGAAACACCUGAUCGAGUAGCGCGGCGACAGAUCUCGGCAUCGCGAGGUUGGCGGUGGGAGGAGCGACGUCGCGAGCGCGACGCGGACGAAGCGGCUGCCGGUGCCAGGUACCGCGAGGACGACGCCACUGCCGGGCUGGAAGAGGUUGGAUAUGAUUCUCGACAAGCUGCAGAAGAAGGAUACAUACGGAGUGUUUGCGGAGCCAAUGGAUCCGAAGGAGGUACAUUCUGAUGGUUUUGCUGAAAUCAUGCCUCGCACUGACAUUGAGUGGUCUCGUUGGAAUUUAUAUUGUUCAGAAGAUUUCAGGAACUAUCAUUUUGUUUUAAGCAUUUUGCUUACUCUGGUGCAUAAUUGUUCUAACUAUUCUUGAAAUCAACUAUGUCUCUUGGGAGCAUAAUCUGUUGACAAGUUGCAGAUUGAUAUGGCUACGUCGACUCACACAUGUUGGGCGGAGGAGAAGAAAUAAGCUGUAUGCCUGUAUCUCAAUCAAAUUACUCAAGAUGCCGUUAAGGAAACCUUGCACAUCUGCACCACAAUAGUUCCAAAGCCCUUGGUGAUAAAGACCGUUUGUAAAUUGUGAUCUUAUUCUAGCAUGAAUGAUAGGGGCAUGGUAUGCAGUUGAAGAUAAGAGUAAAAAAGACCGUAUUAUGCUCCUCUCAAUUGGUGAUAAAGAAUUAAAGACCGUUUGCAUGUCUCAAUUGCUACUCUCAAUUGCCAGCAGCACUUGGUUAUAAAGACCGUUUCAUAUUUACUUAUUCUUUAGCUUUCUUUUGCUUUUUCUUAAGCUAUUGAUUCUUCACCUUUCUUUUGCUUUUUCUUAAGCCAUUAAGCUAUAUCUUUGAUUUUUGGUGUAGUUCUUUUACAUUUUGCUCUUUGUUUGUCCGGGACUACUUUCUUGGACCUGUACCUGAAACAAAAUGUUAUCCUUUGAAAUUGGACGACUAUAGAUUGACCCAUCCAUUUAUUGGAUGUUGAAGUCAGCAUAUGUCUUGCAAAUAAUAGAGCUGCUUGGUCACAUUAUUAUUGGAGAUUUGGAGUGAAGAAACCAAAGGGGUAUACUAAAAGUGGCUUUCUUAUUUUUGAAAUGGAAUCGUGGCUAUACUUGAUGGAUGGUCGUGGCAGUGGCUGCCUGGUUGGCUGAUCAAAUGAUACUAGGUUUGAAAAAUGUCUAAUUAAGACUUUGGAGGGAGUUGUGGAGAUGGGUUUUGAUAUUUUGUUGAAGAAAUAAUGUUUUC